UACUCUAUUACUCUGCAUCUAAUUCCACUUAACGUUCUGAGAACAUUUUUUCUGUAGGUUUUCGAAUGUAACUGUAGAGAGAUAGGAGAGUCAAUAGUGGUGGAACUGAUUUAUGUGUAGUGUUCUUACUUCAUGAAUACGGAUUGCCUACAGUUGUUUCAGCUGUCAAAAACAGGGGAAGAUUGAUUCCACUUUAAUGCUGGCCAAUCAACUUUUUUGCCUCAAUCUGA